CAGUGCGGCCAAGAGGAACCGUGGGCACACAGAUGCUCCACUGCUCCUGUCCGCAGCACACAGGGAGCAUCCUCGCUCCCAGUAGAAGGGAAACGUGCCCGGGAGAAACAGAAAGGAAAACAUCUGGAAGCAGAAGCCUGCAGGCAAUGUCGUCAUGGCUUGGAAAAUCUAUCAGCGCGCACAUAUCUCCCACGUGUGCACCUAGGUUCGUUUUGUCUCGUUUGUCUUCUUGUUUUUAUUAACGACCUACCACAAAGACUCAAGGUACCGUACCAUUAAAACAAGGCAGGAGGUGCCUGCAGCUGCCCACUCCCACCCAGCCGCCAUCCUCCGCCCAGUGGUGCCCUCGUGUGUCUCCGCUCGUGAAGUUCAAACAUUGGGAUCCUGCUAAUUUGCUCUACUUUGAGACAACGCUAGAAAUCUGGCUCUACUCUGCACGCCCCUUUCUUCGAAGCCUCACAGCGCUUUGCAAUUUCACAUAAAGGAGCAUGUGUGAAAGUGAAAAAACUUCUGCCCAUGCUUUUAGCUGAAUUACAGUAAAUAACUGUGAAAAUCCAACAACCUGUUCUGCAUCAUGGCAACCUUUCUGGACCAAAUUUGCAGCAUCUAGAGUGCAAAUUCUGACUGAAGUAUGCGAAAUAUACACUUUCACCCUUAAAUGGAUAUCUACACUUGAAUGUCUACAUCGUGUUCUACAAAUCUGAACAGCAUAACCACAAAGAAGUUAGCAGUGGAAGUCCUCAACCUAUCCAAGUCAAAGCCUUCUUGAUUUUAAAAACUUAAAUAAAGUGGGAUAAAAAAACAAACAAACAACACAACAAAAACAAACAAACAAACAGCAACAGCAACAGAAAAAAACCUUCAAAUUGAAGCUGUGAAGCACGUUUUACCUGGGAGCAGCUCAGAAAUGCAGUAGUUCAUCAGUAAAAGACCAGUUGUGGUUUGUGAUGUUAGAAAAUAUAUGUUCGAUAGUAUAUGAAUAUGUAACAUAAAUUCAUCUCAACUAGCCUUAUGGAUAAAGCAUUUACCUUAAUGUGUCUACAAUGUGUGUGUGGGACUGAACAUCAGAUAAAUGUGUGUGUCCUUAAAUAAGACAGAUAGCUACAGAGAGCGAGGAAAUACUGCUGUCAGAGCCUGGCAGCCAUGUAGCUGCUUACUGAGCUCACAGAUCUGUUGACUGCAACAACCAGAGAUUGACUACAAUGAAAGCUCAUCCAACAAGUUCACAUAGGGACACCUAGGUUGUGGGCUUGGAAUACUGAGUUGUCCUGAUAGUGUACUGUAAAAAUCUGCUUGAGUUGAUUUACCAGUUUUAGACUCCUAUGCUAGCAAUAGUCAAAUUAUGUUUUAGAAUUAUGUCCCUCUGUUGGCUGAAAAAGAAACCUAGACUGUUGAUAUACAGGCAACAGUGCUGUAGUUAUACGAAAUAUAGGGAGCUGAAAACUGUUCUUCUUGUCCUUCUGAAAUGUGUUUUCUGACUGUAGUCUUCCUUCUCAAGGACCAGCACGGUGCUUGCUUUGCAAUAAUGCCAUGCCAAUAAAUUUUAAAUAAUUAGCUGAAUUUAAUACCACAAUAUUUAUAUUUAUUUCUAAGCAUUUAACCUUAGAAACGUAGUUAGAAUGAGACUAACACUUUUGGUGUGUAGGAGAAUCUGUAAGUCUCAUGAGGAGGCCACAGGAGCUUUCAAAGUCCAAUGUGACAUGUUGUUAGCCUGGGAGGUAAGCAACUCUGUCUCUGUAAUUGUACAUGGUUGGUCUCUGCUAUUCAAAACCCUCAUGUCUCCAUAUGUGAUCCCAGAGUAUUGGAAGUAUGCAAGGCCCUUUGUACGUUUCAGGAUUUUGCACAUCACCAUUUCAGAGCUUCAAAGUACGGUUGCUUUAUGGCAACACAUCUCAAUGGAGCUGGGUAGGGCUCAGAUGAUAUGAGUGUCUCUUUUCCUUUUGGUCAGUUUUCAAACUGAAUUGGGAAAACCAGUUGCAGCUACAAAUUGCAACUGUGUGAAUUUCUACUCAAUGACAAAUGUUAGCAGGAUUUAGCACUUCUUAUUUAGGUACUUUACGUACCAUUAUCUACCUUUAAAUGCAUCAU